rnacentral:misc_RNA from 1 species
GAUGAAGAACGUAGCGAAAUGCGAUAAGUAAUGUGAAUUGCAGAAUUCAGUGAAUCAUCGAAUCUUUGAACGCACAUUGCGCCCGCCAGUAUUCUGGCGGGCAUGCCUGUCUGAGCGUCAUUUCAACCCUCAUGCCCCUAGGGCGUGGUGUUGGGGAUCGGCCAAAGCCCGCGAGGGACGGCCGGCCCCCAAAUCUAGUGGCGGACCCGUCGUGGCCUCCUCUGCGAAGUAGUGAUAUUCCGCAUCGGAGAGCGACGAGCCCCUGCCGUUAAACCCCCAACUUUCCAAGGUUGACCUCAGAUCAGGUAGGAAUACCCGCUGAACUUAAGCAUAUCAAUAAGCGGAGGA